AGUGAACGCUGGCGGUAGGCCUAACACAUGCAAGUCGAACGGCAGCACAGGAGAGCUUGCUCUCUGGAUGGCGAGUGGCGGACGGGUGAGGAAUACAUCGGAAUCUACUUUUUCGUGGGGGAUAACGUAGGGAAACUUACGCUAAUACCGCAUACGACCUACGGGUGAAAGCAGGGGAUCUUCGGACCUUGCGCGAUUGACUGAGCCGAUGUCGGAUUAGCUAGUUGGCGGGGUAAAGGACCACCAAGGCGACGAUCCGUAGCUGGUCUGAGGGGAUGAUCAGCCACACUGGAACUGAGACACGGUCCAGACUCCUACGGGAGGCAGCAGUGGGGAAUAUUGGACAAUGGGCGCAAGCCUGAUCCAGCCAUACCGCGUGGGUGAAGAAGGCCUUCGGGUUGUAAAGCCCUUUUGUUGGGAAAGAAAUCCAGCUGGUUAAUACCCGGUUGGGAUGACGGUACCCAAAGAAUAAGCACCGGCUAACUUCGUGCCAGCCGCCGCAGUAA
rnacentral:rRNA from 1 species